rnacentral:rRNA from 1 species
CACUUGUACUGUGAAACUGCGAAUGGCUCAUUAAAUCAGUUAUCGUUUAUUUGAUCGUACCAUUGCUACAUGGAUAACCGUAGUAAUUCUAGAGCUAAUACAUGCGAAAAGUCCCUGAUCUUCUCGGUAAGGGAUGUAUUUCAUUAGAUUCAAAAACCAUAUGCGGGUUCGCGCCCGGUCAUUUGGUGAUUCAUAGUAACUGUUCGAAUCGCAUGGCCUUUGCGCCGGCGAUGAUUCAUUCAAAUUUCUGCCCUAUCAACUGUCGAUGGUAAGGUAGUGGCUUACCAUGGUUGCAACGGGUGACGGAGAAUCAGGGUUCGAUUCCGGAGAGGGAGCCUGAGAAACGGCUACCACAUCCUAGGAAGGCAGCAGGCGCGCAAAUUACCCAAUCCUGACGCAGGGAGGUAUGUGACAAAAAAUAACAAUACAGGGCUUUUCAAGUCUUGUAAUUGGAAUGAGUACAAUUUAAAUCUCUUAACGAGGAACAAUUGGAGGGCAAGUCUGGUGCCAGCAGCCGCGGUAAUUCCAGCUCCAAUAGCGUAUACUAAAGUUGUUGCAGUUAAAAAGCUCGUAGUUGGAUUUCGGGACGGUGCGGUCGGUCAGCCGCAAGGUAUGUCACUGGCCGCAUUGUUCCUCUUCGCAAAGACUGCUUGUGCUCUUAAUUGAGUGUGGGCAGGAUUCGCGACGUUUACUUUGAAAAAAUUAGAGUGUUCAAAGCAGGCUGGCGCUUGAAUACAUAAGCAUGGAAUAAUGGAAUAGGGACUUUGGUUCUAUUUUGUUGGUUUCUGGAACCGAAGUAAUGAUUAAUAGAGACAGUUGGGGGCAUUCGUAUUUCGCUGUCAGAGGUGAAAUUCUUGGAUUUGCGGAAGACGAACUAAUGCGAAAGCAUUUGUCAAGAAUG